rnacentral:rRNA from 1 species
CCAAUCGAACCCGGAGAUAGCUGGUUCUCCCCGAAAUAGCUUUAGGGCUAGCGUUAUGGAGAAGAGUUAUACGAAGGUAGAGCACUGAAUGGGUGAGGGCCUCAUCUCGAGGUACUGAUCUCAAUCAAACUCCGAAUGUCGUAUAAUAUACAUAGCAGUAAGACUAUGGGUGAUAAGGUUCAUAGUCAAAAGGGAAACAGCCCAGACCGCCAGUUAAGGUCCCAAAAUUAUGCUAAGUGGGAAAGGAGGUGGAGUCGCAUAGACAACUAGGAGGUUGGCUUAGAAGCAGCCAUCCUUUAAAGAGUGCGUAAUAGCUCACUAGUCGAGUGAUUCUGCGCCGAAAAUGUAUCGGGGCUAAGCAUAAUACCGAAGCUGCGGGAUUAGACAAAGAGUCUAAUCGGUAGGGGAGCGUACUAAACGCGAAGAAGGUUGACCGGAAGGGCAGCUGGAGAGUUUAGCAGUGAGAAUGCCGGUGUGAGUAGCGAUAAGAUGGGUGAGAAUCCCAUCCGUCGGAAGCCUAAGGGUUCCAGGGGUAAGGCUCGUCCGCCCUGGGUAAGUCGGGACCUAAGGUGAGGCCGAAAGGCGUAGCCGAUGGAUAUCAGGUUGAUAAUCCUGGACCACCGUAGAGCUGAAGGAGUGACGGAGGAGGGAAGUUAGGAUGGACUGGUGGAAUAGUCUAAUGAAGCACAAAGAGGGAUACGUAGGAAAAGCCGCGUAUUGAAACCUUGAAGUGUAAACCGCAAGGCCUAAUGGACCACACUUCCAAGAAAAGCUUCUAGGAGUACUUUAUGGUGCCCGUACCGUAAACGGACACACGUAGGCGAGGAGAGAAUCCAAAGACGCGCGAGAUAAUUCUUGUUAAGGAACUCUGCAAAAUGACCCUGUAACUUCGGGAUAAAGGGGACUCUAGAGAUAGAGGCGCAGAAAAUAGGCCCAAGCGACUGUUUAACAAAAACAUAGGUUUCUGCUAAAGCGAAAGCUGAUGUAUAGGAGCUGACGCCUGCCCAGUGCUGGAAGGUUAAGAGGAGAUGUAAGUCGCAAGGCAAAGCAUUGAAUUGAAGCCCCAGUAAACGGCGGCCGUAACUAUAACGGUCCUAAGGUAGCGAAAUUCCUUGUCAGGU